AAUUUUUUUCCCUGUGUAGUCCCAUGAUUAUAGAUGUACAAAUCACACACGGUGAGAGACUUCUCCAGGGUCAAGCUGUUCAGGUAUAAGCAAUUUAUUAUUUGGGUAGACGGAGGAAGAGACCUGUUUCCACCACCAGCCUCAGCAUACAUGUGGUCAGGGAGGGAGAGAGAGACUGGAGAGGAGAGAGAGAGAGAGGUGCAAGUAAGAGGGGGUAAAAGUAAGAGAGGUUAAGAGCUAUGGGAGAGAAGCUAAGAGCAAGGGGAGAGAGCUUAAGAGAGCGAAGUUCUUGUUACAAUGCAUUAUAUCCUUUUUUAUAGUGACUAUUCUAAUUUCCAGUAACCAACCAGUACAUGACACACAUACUAAAGAAUUUACAUAUAGACUAUAAGAACUACUACAUUACCAUACAAUGUUACAUUUUAAACUCUAAAAGCCUUACAAAUUCUUCUCUUGCUGCUUGACCUUUGGAUUCUCUGUCAGCAGAAGGACAUUGUUUCAUCAACAAGGAUUCUCCUUCAGCUGGUUAGGCUAUUGUUUUUUGGUUAUAUAGUAACUAGCGCUCUGUAUCUUAUGACUCAAAGCUAGCUUUCAUUUCUAUUUUGAUUCUAAGUUUCAUAUUUUCAGAAUUUUUUGCUAAACAAUCAUAUUCAUAAGGUUUCCCUGUUUCAUCCUCCCCAGCACAUGUUGACCAUCAAUCCACUGUCAGUGGCAGGGACUUCCUUCUGACUCUGAUGUCUGAAAUAGGGAAAAUCCACCAAAGACUUCACAUACCUGAGAAACUUAAGACAUCCUUUCCCACUUGAGCCACAAACCCAAGCCUGUACCCUGAUAUAUCAGCCAGAUAUAUCAGAUAUUCUGCAUAUAUUCUGGUCCCAGGACCCAGAAUGCUGUGAGAUUGCAGAGUCACUUACCAUUUGAUCAUAAUUUAAGAGACUUUUGGCUGAAUUUUUCUUUCUCUUUUUCUCUCUCAUGACCUCUCAAAACUCUUUCCAGCCCUGUUUUUCAAAGCUAUACAGAAUAAAACAUAAACCAAAACUACUAUCUCAGCCAGGCUAAUGUUGAAGUAUUAGGUUUAAGAGUUCACAUAUGAGAAGGACAUGAAAUAAUGGAGUCAGAGGCCAUGAAGAGGGAAGUUUGGACAUGCUGUGAGAAAAACACAUGUAAUCUGUUCAUUAUAAAUGCUGGAAGCCUGUAUUGACUCUAUAAGCAUUCAGACAUCUGGAGAACUACAUAUGUUGCAAAGAAUAAUGAAAUCCUCACUGAAAACCAAAAUAUUUUGCUGACAAGAUGGAAGAUGUUAUUUUAUUGCACAAGACAAUGACAAAUAAGUUCACAACGCUUGACCUGGAAGUCUAAUAAAACACUAGAGCUGACAUAGUAUCAGACAAUAUAUAAAAAAUGAUAAAAAAGAUAAACAGGAAAGGGGCAUGACUUCAUAGAUGCAUGAGUCAUGAGUAAUUUAAGGGACCCUGGUGUAGUUUCUGCCAGUUUCAUCAGGCACAUCAUUCAGCAACACCUUAAACCCAGACACUGCUUCUGGCCACCUGGUUCAAGAGCUCUUCUGCUGGAUGGGAGUCAAGCAGACAAGGAAGAAACUUGUCCCGUUGGCUGUAUUUAGUGACAUGAGUCAGGCUUUUCUUGUCUGGAAGAACUUCUGCUUCAUCCCAUUCGUGCAGGGUGAGGGUGAGGGUGAGGGGGUGACAUGUGGCUGGGCAAGCGGCUGUGUGAGCAUUGUGGGGUCCACCAGCACUGCUUUCAGGAUGAAUCAGAGGCUAAGAAGUAGGUGCUCAGUGAAUGUCAUGACUUCUAGCCAGCAAGGUUUUCCGUCCCACCAUCCACCCAUGUCAGUUUGAUCCCUGAGCCCAUGGGUGUAGGCUUAUGUCACACCCAUGGCACUGUCUCAGACAGGGUGCUGCCUUUGAGUCACCAGCUGCCACGCAGGGUGACCAUCAGUCCACCAAGCAAUAAACUGAGUAAUAUUUGAUAACAUAAAGUGAAAGCAAAAGACAACGCUGUACCUGGUGCUUCUGGAUUUCCUUAUUCUUGAAUUCCACUGGAAAACCUCCAUGGGUGCUGUGGUCAGGACCAGGCUUGGAGCCACCCCUAGGUGACCAUAGGGCUGGGUGGUGCCACUGACACUGAAAAGUCUUUGCUUUUAACAUUUUGUCCCUGAAAGUGCUGCUGCUCAUCUUUGAGGUGUUUAUGGUAUGCAAACAGAGGUUGAUGUGUAACCUCAGCUGUCUAAAGCUCAUGGUAGUAAACUGCCAGUGACAUUUGUCAAGAGUUUUGUUCUCAAGCACAGGGAGCACUGAAGUGUGACAGGAAGCAAGAAGAAAACGUGCACAAAAACAGGAAAAGAAGGGGAAACUGGGCAUGAAUUUGAGAGACUGGGGCCACACUGGAUGAGGUGGAAGGCCAGACUGAGCCUCAGAGUGGCAAACUUGAGGUGGCUUAUGAUCUCAGGGGCUUGGAGAGGACAAUCCUUACACCUUCUUCCUGGAGACACAUCUUUGGUCUCUAGCAACAGCUUGGGCAGGACUCUGGAGCUCUGCACGUGGCCUCUGUGGAAGCCCAUGAGCAUCUGCAGAGGUGGAGAACCACCAGCCUUGCUCUACGAAUCAGCUGCAGUCACAGAGUGAUAAUAUACCCCUGCUGGAUCCCAAAGAAUGGGAUGAAACCCAGGGAAAUCAGUAAGCUCCAGAUGCUCUUAAUUUAAAAACUAAGGCAAAUGAGGCCAAAAGCUUCUCAGUGCAGAGAAUGAUGAAUGCAAUCCAGUGUUGCUGCUGCUGCUGUUGCUAUUAUUACUAAUAACGAGGAAUGACUCUUUUUUCAUUUCAGUUGCCUUUGAGAGGUUUCCCUGGUAGAAGCUGGAUCAACUGCUUUCCCAGAUAGGGAGAUUUUUCUGUCUCCCUGUGCUGUGGUGUGUCAGUGCAAUGUAAGGCAUGGAGCCCCUGCCCUGCCUGAACAGCAAUCAGGGGAGAAUGUUUCUGUGGGAGCCCUGCUCCCCAUCUUCUCUCACCACUGCUUAAGUGACUGGGAGGGAGCACCACAAGCCUGUGAUGAGGGCAUAACCAGUCCUAUAGAAGAGAAUUCCUUCAGAAUUUGAAAUGAGAAAUGCAGCAUGCACACCCUCCAAAGCCUCCAUCCUGUGAAAAAAACCAAAGUGCCACAACACGUGUGGGGCACUGUUGAAGGAAAAGCGAUGGAUUUCCUCCUGCUGCAGGUUUCCUGCUUCAUUUGUAGGGCUGUGCAAAGGGAGGCACCACACAGCCCAGCACAAGGCAGCUGAGCAAAAAGGGCACAUUGCUACUGGAUCAUUCUCACCGCUUGCUUGUCCUUCUGCUAGGGUAAGGUGUGUUGAAAGCAAAACCACUGAUUUCCUGCAAAUCAGUCAUGCUGGCACUGUGUUCUGCUGGAGGCAUUGCUUGUGGGGCAAGAAUCAUUCAUGGGGGACAGGAGGUGUAUGGGCACCCAUCCAGGAGACGAGAGACAUGCCUUCCUGAGCAGCCUGUGGGACACUGCCUAGCAGCCCCUCCAUCACCUUUCAGCCUUACUUAGAUCCCUACAGUUCAGACUGAGGCCUGUUGUGGCAUACACCACUUGCUCCAUGGUCAGCCAAACCUGCAGCACUGAGUUUUCAACUGUGAGCGCACUCACUGAGCCCUUUCACACUGGCAAACCCAAAGACAGAUGUGGUGGAGGUACUUACACUACCUCCCCAUGCCUCAGCAGUGAGUGACAGCACCUGGCCCCCAGGGUGUUCAGAAACCUUCAUGGGUGCUGCCUACCCAAGAAACUCAUCUGCACUCUGCCCCCAGGGUGGGAGUCUAAUAGGAAUUCUUUGAGACACUGAUCUUUUAUGAGACAGACAAAAAAAUGUCAUAAGUAACAGCUUUGAUAGCAUUUAAAAUGAAUGCCCAGCUAGUAGCACACAUCCCCAGCAGAGUUUAUUUGAAAAUAACUUGCAUUUUGAUGUAGAGUGCUGAAACAACAGUUUUUUUAAGAACUCCUUUUGCUCAGUGGUACCUGCUUUCCUGCUCCGUGCUUAAUCUCUUUCAUACCCUAGCUGGGUUUUUAUCAAUUGUGGUAUAAUUUCACUUAGGCAGGGACCUGCAAGGUGCUUUGGUACUUCCACCACUUUGCUCAGUAAGUGCCCUGAGAGUAUUUGCUGAAGCUUGCACUGCAUUUCAGCUGGUUUCAGUUCAACUGCAGAAUUCUACUUUGUCAAAUAAAACUGUUGAGAUGA